AGGGUUUGAUCCUGGCUCAGGACGAACGCUGGCGGCGUGCUUAACACAUGCAAGUCGAGCGGAGACAAUUGGCUUCGGCUGAUUGUUUUAGCGGCGGACGGGUGAGUAACGCGUGAGCAAUCUGUCCCAGACAGGGGGAUAACACUUGGAAACAGGUGCUAAUACCGCAUAAGACCACGAGAUCACAUGGUUUCGGGGUAAAAGGAGGAAUCCGGUUUGGGGUGAGCUCGCGUCCGAUUAGCUAGUUGGUGAGGUAACGGCCCACCAAGGCGACGAUCGGUAGCCGACCUGAGAGGGUGAUCGGCCACAUUGGAACUGAGAAACGGUCCAA
rnacentral:rRNA from 1 species